rnacentral:rRNA from 1 species
GUGGGGAAUAUUGGACAAUGGGGGGAACCCUGAUCCAGCCAUGCCGCGUGUGUGAAGAAGGCCUUUUGGUUGUAAAGCACUUUAAGCGAGGAGGAGGCUACCGAGAUUAAUACUCUUGGAUAGUGGACGUUACUCGCAGAAUAAGCACCGGCUAACUCUGUGCCAGCAGCCGCGGUAAUACAGAGGGUGCAAGCGUUAAUCGGAUUUACUGGGCGUAAAGCGCGCGUAGGUGGCCAAUUAAGUCAAAUGUGAAAUCCCCGAGCUUAACUUGGGAAUUGCAUUCGAUACUGGUUGGCUAGAGUAUGGGGAAGGAUGGUAGAAUUCCAGGUGUAGCGGUGAAAUGCGUAGAUAUCUGGAGGAAUACCGAUGGCGAAGGCAGCCAUCUGGCCUAAUACUGACACUGAGGUGCGAAAGCAUGGGGAGCAAACAGGAUUAGAAACCCGAGUAGUCC